rnacentral:rRNA from 1 species
AUGAAAAUAAGAGCUUCCGUUCGUAAAAUUUGUACAAAAUGUCGACUGAUUCGUAGGCGUGGACGAAUUAGAGUCAUUUGCUCUAAUCCGAAGCAUAAACAAAGACAGGGUCCAAUCUUGUUUCGACGGUAUUGUGGGAUGAAGCGGCCCGGACCGACCUUACACGUACUCUUACGUGAGACAGGUUCCACCGAUUGA